AUUCAGCUAACGAGUCUCAAAUAGGACGAAACGCGCGUCCUGGAU
rnacentral:hammerhead_ribozyme from 1 species